CCCAGCUCAUUUUUCAGCCCUGCCUGCGCCUGCCCAGCUCUGCCUGCCCGGACUGCACAGCCACAGGUCCAGCUCCUGGAUGGCUCCAGUGCAGUUUUGGCUGCAGCUCUUGGACACCUCCAGCUCCUGGAUGGCUCUGGCUAGUUUCAGCUCCUGUUUGUAGAUGGCUCCAGCUCGUCCAGCUCAUUUGUAGCUUCAGGUCCAGCUCUUGGACACCUCCAGCUCCUGGAUGGCUCUGGACAGUUUCAGCUCCUGUUUGUGGACGGCUCCAGCUGGUUCUGGCUCCAGCUCAUUUGCAGCUUCACCUUCAUUGUUCCUGGCCCAGCUCAUUUUUCAGCCCUGCCUGCGCCUGCCCAGCUCUGCCUGCCCGGACUGCACAGCCACAGGUCGGUUGUUUGGGUUUGGGUGGUUGUUUUAGUGUUGGU